CGGGUCCAGAGGAGACCACAGAGAUGAUCAAAGGGCUGGAGCACCUCCCCUGUGAAGAAAGGCUGAGGGAAUAGGUCUUGUUCAGCCUGGGGAAGAGAAGGGAGACCUCACUGCUGCCCUCCAGUACUUGGGGAGACCUUAUAAGCAGGAGAACUGUGUUUUUACAUAGUCUAAUAGUGAUAGGACAAGAGGGAACAGAUUGCUCAAAGAAGCUGUGAGUGCCCCAACUCUGGAAACGCCCUGGGCCGUGGAUGGGCCCCUGGGCAGCCUGAGCUGGUGGAGGACAGCCAGCCCACAACAGGGCUCUCCUCCUCUAGGAGAGAAAAGAAAAUGGAGGCAGUUGUCAGUUUUGAAGGCACAGCUGCACUGUUGGUGGGUCACAGCCUCUGCCUCUGUGUGAGGCUGCAUUUCAGUUCCGCCAGCACAGACCUCAGGAGUGCUUAAAGCAGGCCACUGCACUGUCGAAGAGUUUGCUCCAAGAACCAACGUCGUGCAACGGUUCUGCCACGGUCACUCAAAGUCCAUCGUGGAAAUGUGAGAGCGCAGCAGAACACGCU
rnacentral:lncRNA from 1 species